rnacentral:rRNA from 1 species
CCUACGGGUGGCAGCAGUGGGGAAUAUUGCACAAUGGGGGGAACCCUGAUGCAGCAAUGCCGCGUGAAGGAUGACGGUUUUCGGAUUGUAAACUUCUGUCGUAAGGGACGAUGAAAGCGACGGUACCGUAAGAAUAAGCCACGGACAACUACGUGCCAGCAGCCGCGGUAAUACGGAGGUGGCAAGCGUUAUCCGGAUUUACUGGGUGUAAAGGGCGAGUAGGCGGGAUUUCAAGUUAGAUGUGAAAACUAUGGGCUCAACCGAUAGAGUGCAUUUGAAACUGCAGUUCUAGAGUGAUGGAGAGGCAGACGGAAUUCCCGGUGUAGCGGUGGAAUGCGUAGAUAGCGGGAGGAACACCAGUGGCGAAGGCGGUCUGCUGGACAGUAACUGACGCUGAGGCUCGAAAGUGUGGGGAGCAAAUAGGAUUAGAUACCCGUGUAGUC